GGGCCCUGUGGGAUUUCUCAGGAGGCUCUGUGGGAUUUGGGCUCUGUGGGUUUUGGACUCUGGGAUUUGGGCUCUAUGGGAUUUGGGCUCUGUAGGAUUUCUUAGGAGGUUCUGUGGGAUUUGGGCUCUGUAGGAUUUCUUAGGAGGUUCUGUGGGGUUUGGGCGGGGGGGGGGGGGGGGGGGGGGGGGGGGGGGGGGGGGGGGGGGGGGGGGGGGGGGGGGGGGGGGGGGGGGGGGGGGGGGGGGGGGGGGGGGGGGGGGGGGGGGGGGGGGGGGGGGGGGGGGGGGGGGGGGGGGGGGGGGGGGGGGGGGGGGGGGGGGGGGGGGGGGGGGGGGGGGGGGGGGGGGGGGGGGGGGGGGG
rnacentral:lncRNA from 1 species